UGGGUUGUGGCUCAGUGGUAGAGCACUUGCCUUGCAAGUGUGUGGCACUGGGUUCUAUCCUCAGCACUACAC
rfam:Ictidomys tridecemlineatus contig050039, whole genome shotgun sequence.